GUAAAACUGCUUUAUACAAGGCACCGAGUGUGUGAUGUCUUAAGGUUCUUUAUGGACUUUGUUGAUUCGGAGGGGUUGAUGAAUGGAUUGUGUGGAAUGUUUGACUCUAGUCUGAGGAUUAACAUGUUAACAUAUGACGAAUUCUUUUUAGGGAUAGUAGAAGGAAUGAAUGGUCUGCACCGCGAGCGGGGUUCCUUGAAAUAAUGCAACAAGUUUGCAUACGGCUAGAACGAGCUGUGAAACCAGUCACCGCUGAUACUGUCUCAGUUCAUGGACGCAUGCACUCCGCUAGCUGCGCUGCUAGUCGAUUCGACACAAAAAAUACACAGUGAUAGUCAUUAUUCUCCAGUCGCUACAAAAGAUUUCAUAUAGCAGAACGUACGGACGAGAGAACAAUAUCCAUGAGGGAUUUAGAAACCAAUAAAGAGCUUCGGAGCGCAACAAAAAUGGAGAACGACACCGGUCCUGGCAAGAGGCGGUGCUGCCUUACAGGGACCGUGAACGCUAUACCAUAUGCGUUUUCUCUUGUUUCUUUCGCCUUUUGUUUUUUAUUGAAUGUUCAGACCAGCGAGAUUAAGGACAGAAUCGUGGAUCUUGAGACUGGUGGUGGCGCCCGGCUAUUAAGCCCUUUUUAUGGGAUCUCUAUGGAUCAAUUUCAUUCAAUGAUACAGCAACGAGUGGACGAACUGCUGUCACAGCACUCCAAUGACCACUUGGCUAAAAUAAGGACUGCUCGACAAGCUUCACCAUCUGAAUGCAACUGCCCACCAGGACCUCCUGUAAGUACCAUGGCAACAAGCUGAAUUCAGUGUGUAUGACUAAUUCAACAUUAUACAGGUAGAGUGUCUUACGUACCACUCAGACUGAAAAAAACAGCUAAUCUGUUUGAAUGGAGUAACAUCAUAAAGGUUUUUAAUUGUUUUUGAUUUCUCUUACUAAUGUUAAGAUCAAAUGUUUCUGGGCUUGCAGUAGUAUGGUUAAUCUUUCUUACAUGAAGCUAAAUUCUGUGUAUUUUUUUUUCGUCUCACAUGCAUUAGAAGGCAAGGGAGCUGUGGUGCAUAACACAUUACAUGUUUGUCCUUAAGUUUUUAUUUUUAUUUUUUAUUUUGUUUGUAUUUCUACUGUGUUCUGUUAUAUCUACUUUGCACUUGCAGGACCAACAUAGGGUUAUUUUGAAAACACGUCGGCAUACUUGAGAUGCAGAUAGGAGUUAUCUCCCCUUAGUGUUUGAUUGCCAGUCGUGCAGCUAAUUGGUUUGCCCCUCACCAUCAUUGUACAUCACAUUAUUACUUUUAGUUAUAAAUAUUACACACAAAGUACAACUGUUUCCAGAAUUUGAGCCAAAUAAUACUUUUAUCUUUUAUCGUUAGAUUAACCUAAAACUACACUUAAAUUUGUCCUGAUGUUUGGCAUGAGUCAUAUAUUGCAUUUUAUUGAUAGUUUGAAUUUUACUUAUGCAUUGCAUAGUUAUUUAAAUUAACGAUAUGUAGUUUAUGUGACUUUCAUGUUUUAAUAAUGUGAUUGCUUUUAAUGGUGAGGAUGUUGAUGAUAAUGAUGCUGGUAUAAUUAUGGCAUUUGAAAACAAAGCAUUCUUUGACUGAUUGGAAGUUGGAAAAUAAAGCAUUCUAUGACUGAUUGGAAGUUGGAAAAAGUUAUAUAUUUUAUUAAAAGCUGAUAGAAAAAUAGCACAUUCAUAUUCAUGAAGUCUGUCUGUGAUGAGGGGGGCAUUGUCUAACGAAGUCUGUGACAGACAUCGUUCAACUAAAUUUUGAUCACUGCCUAAGUAAGUUCAAAAUGACAUUCACCUGCAUCUGCUUGCAGUGAUUAGAAAAAUGCUGCAGAGUGCAGAGAAAAGGAUUGACAACUUUGACUGGAUUGACGAGAGACUUUACGCCCUAUUAUUCGCCCUACGCAAUAAGGUGCAAGGCGUGCAUGGUACAAUUUGUUGCUAAUUUCAGACCAGCGCAACUGUCAUUUUUACUAUUUGGCCCACGUUGUUUAAAUAGUAAAUCCAUUUGCACCACUUUGUUCACUAAAGGGCGUGCUGGUCUGAAAAGGAGUUGUGUUAAGGCGCAUUUUUGGCAAUUUUUUAUUUUAAGACAAAUGAAAUAGACCACGUCGUUGACAACCUAAAAGCUGGUGUAAAGUGCAGUGGAGAGCUUUUAGCUUAAUACACACAGGAUGUACAGCAAUAUUACAAAAUGAUAAUUUUCUAAAAGAAUAUAAAAAACGUGACACACACACACACACACACACACACACACACACACACACACACACACACACACACACACACACACACACACACACACACACACAGGCUGGAUUUUGAAUCAGAUUUACUGAGUUAGUAAGGAUAAAAAAGAAUACCCAGUAUUCAAAAAAAAAUGUUUUU
rnacentral:lncRNA from 1 species